CCCUUAGAUGUUCUGGGCCGCACGCGCGCUACACUGAUGCAGUCAACAAGUUUAUUUCCUGAGCUGAAAAGUUUGGGUAAUCUUUUGAAACUGCAUCGUGCUGGGGCUUGACGAUUGCAAUUAUUUGUCACAAACGAGGAAUUCCUAGUAAACGCAAGUCAUCAUCUUGCAUUGAUUACGUCCCUGCCCUUUGUACACACCGCCUGUCGCACAAACCGAUUGAAUGAUUCGGUGAAAAUUUUGGACAUCGAGAGUGGUGAUUAAUUUCGCUGCUCUUAAAUGGAAAGAAUUUAAACCUAAUUAUUUAGAGGAUUGUGAAGUCAUAACA
rnacentral:rRNA from 1 species